rnacentral:rRNA from 1 species
AUUGAACGCUGGCGGCAGGCCUAACACAUGCAAGUCGAACGAGAGGCGGACGGGCGAGUAAUGGAUGGGAAACUGCCUGACGGAGGGGGAAAACGACUGGAAACGGUAGCUAAUACCGCAUACCAUCGGAUGUGCUCAGAUGGGAUUAUCUAGUUGGUGUGGUAACGGCUCACCUAGGCGACGAUCCCUAGCUGGUCUGAGAGGAUGACCGGCCACACUGGGACUGAGACACGGCCCAGACUCCUACGGGAGGCAGCAGUAGGGAAUAUUGCACAAUGGGCGAAAGCCUGAUCGAGCAAUGCCGCGUGUAUGAAGAAGGCCUUCGGGUUGUAAAGUACUUUCGGCGGGGAGGCGGUACCCAAAGAGGAAGCCACGGCUAACUCCGUGCCAGCAGCCGCGGUAAUUC